AUCACGGGGUUAGCAAUAACUCCGUGGUUCUAGUGGCGCACGGGUGAGUAACACGUGGGUAACCUGCCCUUGAGACUGGGAUACCCCCUCGAAAGGGGGGCUAAUACCGGAUACGUUCUUCGGAUCGAAAGGUCUGAGGAGGAAAGGUGGCGAAAGCUGCCGCUCUUGGAGGGGCUCGCGGCCUAUCAGCUAGUUGGCGGGGUAACGGCCCACCAAGGCUAUGACGGGUAGCUGGUCUGAGAGGACGACCAGCCACACGGGGACUGAGACACGGCCCCGACUCCUACGGGAGGCAGCAGUGGGGAAUUUUCCGCAAUGGGCGAAAGCCUGACGGAGUGACGCCGCGUGUGGGACGAAGGCCUUCGGGUCGUAAACCACUGUCAGUGGGAAAGAUGGGUGUCGGCGCGAUAACCGCCGGCAUUUGACGGUACCUGCAGAGGAAGCCCCGGCUAACUCUGUGCCAGCAGCCGCGGUAAGACAGAGGGGGCAAGCGUUGCUCGGAAUUACUGGGCGUAAAGGGCGCGUAGGCGGGAUGGCAAGUCGGUCGUGAAAUCCCUCGGCUCAACUGAGGAUCGUCGAUCGAUACUGCCGUUCUUGAGGAUUGCAGAGGAGACUGGAAUUCCCGGUGUAGCGGUGAAAUGUGUAGAGAUCGGGAGGAACACCGGUGGCGAAGGCGGGUCUCUGGGCAAUUCCUGACGCUGAGGCGCGAAAGCGUGGGGAGCAAACGGGAUUAGAUACCCCGGUAGUCCACGCUGUAAACGAUGACGACUAGGUGUU
rnacentral:rRNA from 1 species